rnacentral:SRP_RNA from 1 species
GCAGGGCAUCUUGGCGGGCACCUGUAAUCCCAGCUACUCAGGAGGCUGAGGCAAGAGAAUCACUUGAACCCGGGAGGCAGAGGUUACAGUGAGCCGAGAUCGUGCCACUGCUCUCCAGCCUGGGUGACAGAGCGAGACUCCGUCUCAAAAAAAGAGAAAAAGAAGGGGUUUUUUUGUUUGUUUUUCUUGAGAUGGAGUUUCACUCUUGUUGCCCAGGCUGUAGUGCAAUGGCGCGAUCUCGGCUCACUGCAACCUCUGCCUCCCAGGUUCAAGUGAUUCUCCUGUCUCAG